rnacentral:rRNA from 1 species
AAAUCCGGAAAAUCAAGGCUGAGGCGUGAUGACGAGGCACUACGGUGCUGAAGCAACAAAUGCCCUGCUUCCAGGAAAAGCCUCUAAGCAUCAGGUAACAUCAAAUCGUACCCCAAACCGACACAGGUGGUCAGGUAGAGAAUACCAAGGCGCUUGAGAGAACUCGGGUGAAGGAACUAGGCAAAAUGGUGCCGUAACUUCGGGAGAAGGCACGCUGAUACGUAGGUGAAGUCCCUUGCGGAUGGAGCUGAAAUCAGUCGAAGAUACCAGCUGGCUGCAACUGUUUAUUAAAAACACAGCACUGUGCAAACACGAAAGUGGACGUAUACGGUGUGACGCCUGCCCGGUGCCGGAAGGUUAAUUGAUGGGGUUAGCGGUAACGCGAAGCUCUUGAUCGAAGCCCCGGUAAACGGCGGCCGUAACUAUAACGGUCCUAAGGUAGCGAAAUUCCUUGUCGGGUAAGUUCCGACCUGCACGAAUGGCGUAAUGAUGGCCAGGCUGUCUCCACCCGAGACUCAGUGAAAUUGAACUCGCUGUGAAGAUGCAGUGUACCCGCGGCAAGACGGAAAGACCCCGUGAACCUUUACUAUAGCUUGACACUGAACAUUGAGCCUUGAUGUGUAGGAUAGGUGGGAGGCUUUGAAGUGUGGACGCCAGUCUGCAUGGAGCCGACCUUGAAAUACCACCCUUUAAUGUUUGAUGUUCUAACGUUGGCCCCUAAUCGGGGUUGCGGACAGUGUCUGGUGGGUAGUUUGACUGGGGCGGUCUCCUCCUAAAGAGUAACGGAGGAGCACGAAGGUUGGCUAAUCCUGGUCGGACAUCAGGAGGUUAGUGCAAUGGCAUAAGCCAGCUUGACUGCGAGCGUGACGGCGCGAGCAGGUGCGAAAGCAGGUCAUAGUGAUCCGGUGGUUCUGAAUGGAAGGGCCAUCGCUCAACGGAUAAAAGGUACUCCGGGGAUAACAGGCUGAUACCGCCCAAGAGUUCAUAUCGACGGCGGUGUUUGGCACCUCGAUGUCGGCUCAUCACAUCCUGGGGCUGAAGUAGGUCCCAAGGGUAUGGCUGUUCGCCAUUUAAAGUGGUACGCGAGCUGGGUUUAGAACGUCGUGAGACAGUUCGGUCCCUAUCUGCCGUGGGCGCUGGAGAACUGAGGGGGGCUGCUCCUAGUACGAGAGGACCGGAGUGGACGCAUCACUGGUGUUCGGGUUGUCAUGCCAAUGGCACUGCCCGGUAGCUAAAUGCGGAAGAGAUAAGUGCUGAAAGCAUCUAAGCACGAAACUUGCCCCGAGAUGAGUUCUCCCUGACUCCUUGAGAGUCCUGAAGGAACGUUGAAGACGACGACGUUGAUAGGCCGGGUGUGUAAGCGCAGCGAUGCGUUGAGCUAACCGGUACUAAUGAACCGUGAGGCUUAACCUUACAACGCCGAAG